AUUGAACGCUGGCGGCAGGCCUAACACAUGCAAGUCGAACGGUAACAGGAAACAGCUUGCUGUUUCGCUGACGAGUGGCGGACGGGUGAGUAAUGUCUGGGAAACUGCCUGAUGGAGGGGGAUAACUACUGGAAACGGUAGCUAAUACCGCAUAACGUCGCAAGACCAAAGAGGGGGACCCUCGGGCCUCUUGCCAUCGGAUGUGCCCAGAUGGGAUUAGCUUGUUGGUGGGGUAACGGCUCACCAAGGCGACGAUCCCUAGCUGGUCUGAGAGGAUGACCAGCCACACUGGAACUGAGACACGGUCCAUACUCCUACGGGAGGCAGCAGUGGGGAAUAUUGCACAAUGGGCGCAAGCCUGAUGCAGCCAUGCCGCGUGUAUGAAGAAGGCCUUCGGGUUGUAAAGUACUUUCAGCGGGGAGGAAGGGAGUAAAGUUAAUACCUUUGCUCAUUGACGUUACCCGCAGAAUAAGCAUCGGUUAACUCCGUGCCAGCAGCCGCGGUAAUACGGAGGGUGCAAGCGUUAAUCGGAAUUACUGGGCGUAAAGCGCACGCAGGCGGUUUGUUAAGUCAGAUGUGAAAUCCCCGGGCUCAACCUGGGAACUGCAUCUGAUACUGGCAAGCUUGAGUCUCGUAGAGGGGGGUAGAAUUCCAGGUGUAGCGGUGAAAUGCGUAGAGAUCUGGAGGAAUACCGGUGGCGAAGGCGGCCCCCUGGACGAAGACUGACGCUCAGGUGCGAAAGCGUGGGGAGCAAACAGGAUUAGAUACCCUGGUAGUCCACGCCGUAAACGAUGUCGACUUGGAGGUUGUGCCCUUGAGGCGUGGCUUCCGGAGCUAACGCGUUAAGUCGACCGCCUGGGGAGUACGGCCGCAAGGUUAAAACUCAAAUGAAUUGACGGGGGCCCGCACAAGCGGUGGAGCAUGUGGUUUAAUUCGAUGCAACGCGAAGAACCUUACCUGGUCUUGACAUCCACGGAAGUUUUCAGAGAUGAGAAUGUGCCCUCGGGAACCGUGAGACAGGUGCUGCAUGGCUGUCGUCAGCUCGUGUUGUGAAAUGUUGGGUUAAGUCCCGCAACGAGCGCAACCCUUAUCCUUUGUUGCCAGCGGUCCGGCCGGGAACUCAAAGGAGACUGCCAGUGAUAAACUGGAGGAAGGUGGGGAUGACGUCAAGUCAUCAUGGCCCUUACGACCAGGGCUACACACGUGCUACAAUGGCGCAUACAAAGAGAAGCGACCUCGCGAGAGCAAGCGGACCUCAUAAAGUGCGUCGUAGUCCGGAUUGGAGUCUGCAACUCGACUCCAUGAAGUCGGAAUCGCUAGUAAUCGUGGAUCAGAAUGCCACGGUGAAUACGUUCCCGGGCCU
rnacentral:rRNA from 1 species